GUGCCGGAACACAGCCAAAAGAGCGAGCAACGCAGUACAGGCUGUGAGUGGACGGCGGGAGAAACAAAGCUGUUGCUCGACUACUACCAGCAGUAUUUUUCCCAAAUAGGGCCAAUGAAGAAA